rnacentral:sRNA from 1 species
ACUACCCGUAAUCAAUGACUACCUGCAGCGAUGGAACUCUGUCGCGCGUUCGUAAGUCGUCCGGGUCCGAAGGGCGCUCCCCGAAAGUGUCGUGCGCCCUUCGUCAUUUCGGGAGGGGUCGACGACGCUGCGACGAUA